GUGCUAGUGGGAGCCCAUGUGGAGCAGGUGCAUUAGAUCAUAGCACAUUAACCGGGAAUUUGAAUUGCUGUAAGUGCAUUCCCUGUCCCCCUGACGUCCGUGUGUGCUCAGCUAUGGGUCCUUACGGGCCGUUUUACCACUUUUAAAUGGGACAGAGGGGUCUUUAGGGGUACCCGUUGGUUCAUAGGGACACCGACCCCAUCUUAGCAUUAAAACAAUACCGAGUUCUCCUUAAUCGAUAUAUUCAAUGUGUGGGAGGGGAGUGGGAGUG